rnacentral:piRNA from 1 species
UACACCCACCAUUAGGAGUCUCACAAAAACC